GAGUUUGAUCCUGGCUCAGGAUGAACGCUGGCGGCGUGCUUAACACAUGCAAGUCGAACGGAGUUAUAUUUUUGGAAGCUUCGGUGAAAGAGGAUAUAACUUAGUGGCGGACGGGUGAGUAACGCGUGGGUAACCUGCCGUAUACAGGGGGAUAACACCUGGAAACAGGUGCUAAUACCGCAUAAGCGCACGAUGUCGCAUGACGUUGUGUGAAAAGCCCUGGCGGUAUACGAUGGACCCGCGUCUGAUUAGCUAGUUGGUGGGGCAACGGCCUACCAAGGCAACGAUCAGUAGCCGGCCUGAGAGGGUGGACGGCCACAUUGGGACUGAGACACGGCCCAAACUCCUACGGGAGGCAGCAGUGGGGAAUAUUGCACAAUGGGGGAAACCCUGAUGCAGCGACGCCGCGUGAGUGAAGAAGUAUUUCGGUAUGUAAAGCUCUAUCAGCA
rnacentral:rRNA from 1 species